rnacentral:rRNA from 1 species
UACGUAGGGGGCGAGCGUUGUCCGGAAUUAUUGGGCGUAAAGGGCGUGUAGGCGGCCUCACAAGUCAGGGGUGAAACCCCGGGGCUCAACCCCGGGCAUGCCUCUGAAACUGCGGGGCUUGAGUGCUCUAGAGGGCAGUGGAAUUCCCGGUGUAGCAGUGAAAUGCGUAGAGAUCGGGAGGAACACCAGUGGCGAAGGCGGCUGCCUGGGGAGUAACUGACGCUGAGGCGCGAAAGCUAGGGGAGCAAAC